rnacentral:rRNA from 1 species
GCCUAGAGAUGAGCUCGCGUCUGAUUAGCUAGUAGGUGGGGUAAGAGCCUACCUAGGCGACGAUCAGUAGCUGGUCUGAGAGGAUGAUCAGCCACACUGGGACUGAGACACGGCCCAGACUCCUACGGGAGGCAGCAGUGGGGAAUUUUCCGCAAUGGGCGAAAGCCUGACGGAGCAAUACCGCGUGAGGGAGGAAGGCUCUUGGGUUGUAAACCUCUUUUCUCAGGGAAGAACACAAUGACGGUACCUGAGGAAUCAGCAUCGGCUAACUCCGUGCCAGCAGCCGCGGUAAUACGGAGGAUGCAAGCGUUAUCCGGAAUGAUUGGGCGUAAAGCGUCCGCAGGUGGCUAUGUAAGUCUGCUGUUAAAGAGUGAGGCUCAACCUCAUAAGAGCAGUGGAAACUACAUAGCUAGAGUGCGUUCGGGGCAGAGGGAAUUC